rnacentral:rRNA from 1 species
UUGGACGGUCAUAGGGACCUGGUUCAUCCGAUCUCGUUCCGAUCUCGGCAAUUAAGAAGGUCUCCGUUUCUAGUCGUACUGUACUUUUGUACGGGAGCCUAGAAAAGCUGUCCACC